rnacentral:rRNA from 1 species
CGCGUAGGCGGAUAAUUAAGUCUGAUGUGAAAUACCAGGGCUCAACCUUGGGGCUGCAUCGGAAACUGGUUAUCUUGAGGACAGGAGAGGAAAGUGGAAUUCCACGUGUAGCGGUGAAAUGCGUAGAUAUGUGGAGGAACACCAGUGGCGAAGGCGACUUUCUGGACUGUAACUGACGCUGAGGCGCGAAAGCGUGGGGAGCAAACAGGAUUAGAUACCCUGGUAGUCCACGCCGUAAACGAUGAGUGCUAGGUGUAGAGGGUAUCGACCCCUUCUGUGCCGCAGUUAACACAAUAAGCACUCCGCCUGGGGAGUACGGCCGCAAGGUUGAA